UGUAAAGUAGGUCAAGGGGUUUCGCCGGUAUCGCGAUCUCAAAAUUCUAUUCUGAUCGGCGAAUGCGUGCUGUGCUGAAAAACGCGGUCACGCGCGAAGUUUGGACUCACUGCCAUAUAGUAUUUUGACCAAAAGCUUCAGUCUCUGUAUUUUGGUUGUUCCACUGAACUACGUUGGCUCAAAUCACCAAUACAUAGACUGAAGAGCUAGGAGGCCCGUACGCACAGCCAACGUAUAGGGAACUAGCGUUUGUGAAAAUGUAUUAUGGACUAGCUUAAUUCGCAAAAGGUUGCAUAGAUCUAAACUGGACCCGACCUUUCAAUUCAGGAUUAAGAUCUAACAGGACUGUUAAAAUGUGCUCCAAGUGUUCCAAUUACCCCAUACGAGGUGAGUAGCGCCUGAACGAAUGGUUGAGCUUCGCUGGUUAUGCAACCCAUCACUGUACAGCUGCAAUCAGAGUCAACGACCUCAGCAUAGCAAAUGGGUCAGAAGUUACUAGCAGGUCAAAUACAAAACUUGCAAGCUUUGUCUUCAUCAUUCAAGCAUCAGGACAGCAGGUCAUUCGGCCAGCUUACUACCCAACUCAAGCUCCCCAACCCAUGCUGUCCAGAGACCAUGCUCUGUGCAAAUGGUUCUGUCACCUACCACCUUCCAGCUACGAGCUGCUCAGCAACUUCUCAAGUCCAUUCAAAGACGGAUGAGGGCACAGAGUGUAAGCCCAAGCCAGGCUGAGGCCACAGCCUGGUGAGCUUGUCAGCAAGGCCGAGUAGUCCAUCUGUUACCGCAGUUCGGGCAGCGAGAAGUAUUAAUGCCUCAAGCCCUAUGACGGAUGUCAAGACGUUAAGUUCUUCCAUAAAGACGGUUGAAGUGCCGUUGGUCUAUGAGAAAGCAACCCUUGCUGCUAUUUAUGAUUAGGGAUUCAAGUCCGUCCAUGAAGACAACUGUGGCUAGUGUGUCUUCAAGAGGAAUUGCUGGGCAAUGCUACAUUGCCUACCCAUUGUAUCAUCAAUACCUCUUCAUAGCUGUGUCUCUCUGCCCAUGGACCUACUACUCUGACAGAGUAUUAGGUCCACGCUCUGCCAUACAUGUACCUCUUAACCCUUAAAAAGACUGGGGCCGUAAAAUUCUAUUUCUAGCAAAAAAUUCAUCUUUGUGUCAUUACCUUUACUUUUUCUUGAUAAAAACAAAUAGUACCUCUUACCCCUAAAAAGACUGGGGCCGUAAAAUUCUGUUUCUAGACAAAGUUCAUCGUUGAAUUAUUACCUUUACUUUUACUUUAUAAAAACAAAUAACUACGUGUUUAUGAUCGGAAAAAUUGUCAACAAUUUCUAUUGAAAAACAAUUAAAAAAAAAACAUGGUAGAAUUACAUGAGAAACUUUAAACAAUAAAAUAAAAAAAAAUCGUGUAUCCAAACAGAAACCCUUAGAGGGCUUUAAGGGCUUAAUUUACAGAUUUACAGCCAAAUUUUAAUUCCAUGCAUAAGUUAGCACAAUCUUGAAUUAUUUUGGAAGAACCAAAUAUGCAGUUCUGUAGAUUGCAUUGUGGUUGAUGUGGACAUUUCUUUUUGUCAUGAUCACACCAUUAUGAGCCAAAAGGAUUGUUUGAAAACCUUAAAAAAUACCCCAGUCUUAUUAGGGUUAACCAUGUUGGUAAGAGAAGGCCCUUUAGCAAUUGGGUGGAUGAUGUCUACUGCUAUCGCUCGCUGGUUGGAGAUGCCCUAAGGAGAGUGGAGGUAGCCUAAAUGAAGACCAGGAAUCUUAUGAACAUCCUUCAUUCCCCAGAAGACUACCUUGAGGAACUGCAGCAGAUCAUCAAGAGCUACUCAGACCUUGAUCCUGCUCCACCACCUAUGGUAGCUCCAGCUCGUGGUUAUUAUGCAGAGAUGAAGAAUCUUUGUUUAUUCCUCUCGCUACCCAGUCGUCCCGCUCCACUACCACCAGUUGGAAGUCUAGCUCCAGUUCCUGGGUAUUAUGCGGAGAGGGAGACUUGUGAAAAGCAGAGAGAUGAUGUCAUAGAAGAAGCAGAGGAACUGUUGUGCUAAUGAGACAUCCCACAUUUCCACUAGACUUUCCACAGUGUGGGACUGAAUUUCCUGUAACCCUAAUGAAAUUUGGACAAAUAGGAAACUUUACUUUCAGAACGCUCUUAUUUACAAAAUCUUUAUCUGCAUAAGAAUUUGAUUUCAGCUUUAGCUGAUCAUGGAAAUUAAAAAAAAUUGAGACUCUUGUUUUAAAGAUAAGAAUUGGAAAGCUUGUCAGUGAUUUUCAUGAACUGAUUUGCUUUGACUCGAGCAGAUGCAAGGAUAUCAGGGGCUUAUAACAAGUAGCUAGUGAAGGUUAAUAUUUAUCUAGUUUCAUGAAGUACUCUCCAGGGGCCCGUAACACAAAAAGUAGCAAUGAUCGUAGAACUUCUUUCUGUGAUUGAUUCCAGUGGUUACAACGUCCAAUCAUUCGUAGAAAUCGAGCGUAUGAUUAAUCGCUAACCUUUGUGUUACGGGACCCUGGUCAUCAAUCGUAACUAAUUCGUUCAGAAAUGUCCUGUACAUCCAGUGGGUCGGAUGUGCAUACUUUAUGGAAUGGCUCCACCAGGGCCCCAUCUUACAAAGAGUUACGAUUGAUCCAAUCAAUAUACAAAUAGCGAAUAGGCAUGAGUUCGAUGGUGCAAGUUUUCGCAUGAGAUGAAAGAAAGAUGCUCUAUUCAACGAGGCAUUAGCCGAGUUAAAUAGAGCGUUUCUUUCUUUCACCGAA
rnacentral:lncRNA from 1 species